UACAGAGGUCUCAAGCGUUGUUCGGAUUCAUUGGGCGUAAAGGGUGCGUAGGUGGCGGGGUAAGUCAGGUGUGAAAUCUCGGGGCUCAACCCCGAAACUGCACUUGAUACUGCCUUGCUCGAGUACUGGAGAGGAGAUUGGAAUUUACGGUGUAGCAGUGAAGUGCGUAGAUAUCGUAAGGAAGACCAGUGGCGAAGGCGAAUCUCUGGACAGUUACUGACACUGAGGCACGAAGGCCAGGGGAGCAAACGGG
rnacentral:rRNA from 1 species